rnacentral:tRNA from 1 species
GGGGCCGUAGCUCAGUUGGUAGAGCGUCUCGUUCGCAAUGAGAAGGUCAGGAGUUCGAUUCUCCUCGGCUCCACCA